rnacentral:rRNA from 1 species
UACAGAGGUCUCAAGCGUUGUCCGGAUUCAUUGGGCGUAAAGCGCGCGUAGGCGGUUUGGUAAGCCGGGUGUGAAACCCUCGAGCUCAACUCGGGGCGGCCACUCGGAACUGCUAUGACUUGAGUCUGGUAGGGGAACACGGAAUACCUGGUGUAGCGGUGAAAUGCUUAGAUAUCAGGUGGAACACCAGUGGCGAAGGCGGUGUUCUGGGCCAGUACUGACGCUGAGGCGCGAAAGCGUGGGGAGCGAACAGG